rnacentral:rRNA from 1 species
GAUGAACGCUAGCGGCAGGCUUAAUACAUGCAAGUCGAGGGGGAUCAGUUGGGUAGCAAUACCUGGCUGUGAGACCGGCAAACGGGUGAGGAACACGUACGCAACUUUCCCAAAACUGGUGAAUAGCCCUCCGAAAGGAGGAUUAAUACACCGUAACAUAACGAAAUGGCAUCAUUUUGUUAUUAUAGCAGCAAUGCGGUUUUGGAUAGGCGUGCGCCUGAUUAGGUAGUUGGCGGGGUAACGGCCCACCAAGCCUACGAUCAGUAACUGGUGUGAGAGCACGACCAGUCACACGGGCACUGAGACACGGGCCCGACUCCUACGGGAGGCAGCAGUAAGGAAUAUUGGACAAUGGUCGCAAGACUGAUCCAGCAAUGCCGCGUGAGUGAUGAAGG